rnacentral:misc_RNA from 1 species
AAGUCGUAACAAGGUUUCCGUAGGUGAACCUGCGGAAGGAUCAUUAUCACGUAUCCACGUUAUAAACCAAACGCGAACUGUCACAAACCUUUGAGCUACGGUCGCUGUCAUGAAUUAUGGGUCUAUUGUAUGGUUAGAGACUCUCAUGGCAAUUAAGACUGUUUCUUCGAAGCGUAUUAAUCAUACUUUUAACAAUUAACCACUUGAACACAAUAAUUUUCUUUGUUUGAACUGAUUUGUUUCUUACUCGUUGAGUAAUCAAUGAGAAGAAAUCGAAUACGAAACAAAAAAGAACAACUCUUAGCAACGGAUAUCUUGGUUCUC